GUAAGAUACUUGAGUCUCGUACACUUGGGGCUGCUGGCUCCUCCAUCACUGCACAUGUGUGGCCUCGUGCUUGCCAGGUGCUGGGACACAGAGAUGCAUAAACACAGCCGUGGCCUUAAGAAGCCCACAGUCCAGGGCGGACCUUCCCUCAGUGGACACUUAGGUGCCAGCGCCGCGGCCACGCUGGAGCCCGGGACUCCCAGGGAGCACUUGGGACUCUGUCAUGUGCAUAGUUCCCUAGCCACGGAUACAAGUUAUCAAAUGAAAAAAGAAAGAAAGGGA